rnacentral:lncRNA from 1 species
CCUGUUUGUGCAUCUCUCAAUCUCUGUGUAUGUCAUUUGUGUUUUAAAAUAUUGAUGUCUGUCUAAACCCAAUAGCAAGAAUGCAAGUUGCAACAUUCCAUGUACAGCAUCAGUCUUGGCCAUUUAAUUUUGCAAAUGUGCUAGGUAAAAUGGAGAAUCCUCUUCCUAGGGCUGCAAUCUUAUAAACUGUGAAUUUCUCUAUAAUUGUUCAUUCAAAAGUAACAUCCUUCAACUCGUUAACUUGGAAAUAAUGCCAAACUAUCAAAUAGUCAGAAAAACUCAAAACUUUAACCACAAUUUCACCUUCAAAUCAAUGUUGAAAUUCAUAUUUAAAAGUUUCAAACAAGCACACAGACACACGCAUACACACCCACACCCACACCCACUACCCCCCCACACACACAUACACACCCUCCCAAUCUAAUUUUGGGGACGUGGGGAUGUUCGGGAUAAAAAACUGUUUUCAUUCCCCUUUAACUCCUGAACAAAUAUAAUCAUGCCAGUCCGUAGACCAAAAUGAUUGUUAAAAUAAGCCCCAUAUCUUAGCCCUUGCCUUUCUGAGGAUUUCAUCAUAGGAUGACAGAACAUUUGAUCAAACAGGAGAAAAGUGGGAAGUAACUUACAAUAGGGGAGAAAAGCUCCCUAAUUUGAAUACAAAUGUCAGGUAUAAGUUGGUAAAGAUCAGCAGUCAGCUGUAGAACUUGAUAGAAACUUAGCUAAGCCAUUCCUCAGCCCUUCCAUUGGCCCUUGUGACUGUAUCCUAACCCAUUUUCCUCCAUAGCAUUUCUUUUCCCCAUGAUCUUUCCAAAGAAUUCACCUAUAGAUCUCAAUUCUCUCUCGACAUGCUAAGAUUAUCUUUCUUACUACCAAUUCCUUCUAGGCUCCAUCAUUUCUUUCCUAACGUCUUCUGAUUCGACUUUGAGACAACCCAGCACUCUGGAAUCUUUGCUGUGACUUCUCCAAUGGACAGAUGUUCCGUUCCAUCCUCCUAACGAGGUUUCUACCCAAACAUAUCGGAAUAAGUGGUUGCAGGCAAGCAAAGCAUAUGAUGGUGCCCCUGUGGUUUUCAGAUGGCUCAGCAGAUGUAUUUGGUUCAAGAUUGGAGGGGGAGUGGCAGACAUACAGUUUGGCCAGUGAGGUGAGUGGCUGUAGCAGACUGCAUGAUGGGCCUCCAUUUUCAAGAGGAGACACAUUCUCAUUGAUACAU